rnacentral:rRNA from 1 species
GACGAACGCUGGCGGCGUGCUUAACACAUGCCAGUCGAACGGAAAGGCCUGUCCUUCCUUGUGUUGGACGGGUACUCGAGUGGCGAACGGGUGAGUAACACGUGAGUGAUCUGCCCCCAACUUGGGUAUAAGCCUGGGAAACUGGGUCUAAUUCCCGAUAGGACUGCAGGGUGGUGCCUGUGGUGGAAAACGAUUUUCUAGUGGUUGGGGAUGAGCUCGCGGCCUAUCAGCUUGUUGGUGGGGUAAUGGCCUACCAAGGCGGCGACGGGUAGCCGGCCUGAGAGGGUGGACGGCCACAUUGGGACUGAGAUACGGCCCAGACUCCUACGGGAGGCAGCAGUGGGGAAUAUUGCACAAUGGGCGGAAGCCUGAUGCAGCGACGCCGCGUGGGGGAUGACGGCCUUCGGGUUGUAAACUCCUUUCGACCGCGAGGAAGCCGCCUGGUUGGAAGGGUGGUGACGGUAGUGGUAGAAGAAGCACUGGCUAACUACGUG